rnacentral:rRNA from 1 species
GAUAAACGCUAGCGGCAGGCUUAACACAUGCAAGUCGAGGGGCAGCAUAGAUUGUAGCAAUACAAUUGGUGGCGACCGGCGCACGGGUGCGUAACGCGUAUGCAACCUACCCGUCACAGGGGGAUAAUCCGGAGAAAUCUGGUCUAAUACCCCAUAACAUAUGGAUCGGCAUCGGUUCAUGUUGAAAUUUUCGGAGGUGACGGAUGGGCAUGCGUAGCAUUAGCUUGUUGGUGAGGUAACGGCUCACCAAGGCGACGAUGCUUAGGGGGACUGAGAGGUUUUCCCCCCACACUGGUACUGAGAAACGGACCAGACUCCUACGGGAGGCAGCAGUGAGGAAUAUUGGUCAAUGGGCGCAAGCCUGAACCAGCCAUGCCGCGUGCAGGAUGACGGCUCUAUGAGUUGUAAACUGCUUUUGUACGAGGGUAAGUGGGUUACGUGUAACCUUUUGAAAGUAUCGUACGAAUAAGGAUCGGCUAACUCCGUGCCAGCAGCCGCCGUAA